AAGGAUAUCAACAAUUAUGUUAAGAAGACGAGAGCACUUUUUUCUAGUUCACAAUGUGCGUCACAUUGCGUAUUAAAUUCGGAAAGGAUUAUGGGAAAUCGUUACAAGCACUGUAGAAAUUUCAUCCUGCGAUGGCAAAGCAAGACUUGGAUCUGUCAUCUCCAUUAAUUACCAGAAAAUGGAUUUGCAUUGCGACUGUUUGAUAAAACCUCUCUUUAUGGGAACAUUACAAUUUGCAUCCGAUACUUUCAAAUUUAUAUGUCGUAUGGAGGUCAACAUUUACGAUAAUAAAAGAGCCGAUGAAUUAGUUAAUCUCCCAUGUGGAAAUGGGAGGACUUCUGUUUAUUUCAAUGUUACUGAUGACGAUGUCUUUCAACUGAUAUUCAAACCUGUCAGCUUAACAAAUGGGACAUUUAAUCAACAUAUCUCCGUUUUUAAAGAGGCCACAUUAAAUGGCAAUAUUUCUGUGUCUUGUCGUGUUCAAAAUUUGUCCACAAACGUAACAGUCUUUGACGAUGAACUUACCACAAUUUCAACCUCUAUCCAAUCAACAAAUACAAGAUGUAUAUCUUCAUAAAAACCGACCAUAAGAUUUCUGCAGACAUGUAUACAGAACUGGAUACAAGCAGUCAGUCAAGAGCUCGAGGAGAAAGUGAUCAGAGAUACGAUUCAUUGCAACAUUAGAAUUAAAUCUAUUUUGACACGAUUUUAAUUUUAAGAUUUUUUUCCUUACGAUCUUUUUUGGUAAACAAAGCAUAAAAUUGAAUUUUAUAUUCAUUUAGUACAUAUUUGUACAUAUAUAUUUAGUACAUAUAUAUUUAAUUCUUGUUUUUAUUUUUCUGUUUAACUUAAGAAUGCAGUUUACGAAUAAACAUAAAUGUAAACAUUUUAUAAACAUAAAAAGAUCUUUUUGAGCUUUGUUAAGUUAAUAACAAUCAUUCUAAA